ACAUCCCUGCAAAUUGAGCGGUGGUUUGUCAAUUAAAGAGCCAACACCUGCCAAUAGGGAGCCGAGCUCUGGACGUGGAUUACAGGCCUCACCGUGCGGCGCGCGGUAGUGGAAGUAAGAAACGCCCAGGCGGUGCCCACCGUGUUGAGCACGGUUCUUUACGCAACCAUCCUAAUUUGCAGGGAUUUU
rnacentral:other from 1 species